CCCUCGGCUGGCCGAUUUAUUAGAGAACAGUUCCUCCUGCGCACAGUUCAUUGUUUCCAUCUUAGGGAAGCUCGGGAGGGUAGGGGGUGAGGGUGGAGAAGGCAAGGAACAGGGUAGAAGGAGGCGCUGGAGAAACAGAAUGGAGAGGAGGGUUCCUGGCUUCUGUUGUGGCGUCUUUUCUAUUUGACUUCAUGGUUGUAAGUAUUUCCAGAUGGUGAAUCAGACACCAGACGUAACAAUAUUUCCAUAUUUGGGUAUAGCAGUAGCCUGCGUUUUUAACAUUUUUCUCCCUCUGUUAUCCAACCACAAGGCAUUCUUGACAGCUUCAAAUGUUGUUAAAUAUAGACUUAACUUCUGUUCCCAGAGCAGGAAAUUCGUUGGAAUUCCUUGUUUUUCACGCAAUCUGUCUAUCAUGAUUUAAAAUAAAGUUGCAGUGGAUGAUCCAACUGGCCUGAAUAUGCUGUGUUCCUUUGCUGAGGGGAGUUGGAGGGUGAGGGGGGGAAGCCUAGAGGUCCGGUAUACGGCACAGCGUUCAAACAGACACGCCAUUCCAUAGAUGCCUUUAAAAAUCAGAUUAAAGUUUUCUAACGAGGAUGUGUGGGGUUUUGUUUCUGGACUCCAACUGGGCAAUCUCGGAGAAUGGGAUUGUCCCAGAGGAGACGCGGGGAGAACAUUAGCGUCAGCUGUCCAUUUAAAGCAGCGGGUGUGUGGUGAGAAGAGGAGGGGUGCUGGAGUCGUCAAGGCCAGGAGGUGCUGGAGGAGGAGAGGCUGCGGGAACCUCUGUGCAUCGCCUCUGCAGACAGCAUGCUGGGAACCAGGAGAAACAGCGGCUGCUUAAGUCCUUGCCUAGGAUGGUCCAGCAACUCCAGACGUGCUGUCGCCUUCUCACCUCCUCUGCUGAGAGCUACAGAUCCUUCGUUGACAGACAGGGAGGGAAAUGUGCAAAUGGAGUGGACACGAGCAAUUUGUCCUCUGAGAGGCUCCAUCCAGCAGCUGACUCAGACAGAUGCAGACAUCCACAGCCAGAGGAUGGAGCUUGGGGACUCCUAUGGAAGAAUAGGAGGAAGAAUUGUGGGCUCCGAAGGGGAUAGGAACUCCACAGGAAGACCAACAGAGUCAACUAACCUUUACCCUUGGGAUUUCAGCGUCUGAACCACCAACCAAAGAACAUACACAGGCUGGACCUAGGCUUCCCCACAUAUAUGUACAGUUGGACCUCCACGUGGGUCCUCAACAACUAGACCGAGGGCUAUCCCAAAAGCUUUUGCCUGUACAUGGGAUAUGUUCUACCAGUGGGGCUGCCUUGUGUGACCUCAGUGGGAGAGGAAGUGCCUAGCCUCAAAGAGACUUGAAGUGCCAAGGUAGGAGGGAUAUCUAAGGGGGCCCAUACCCAUUCAGAGGAGUCAGGGAGGGGAAGGGUUGUGGGAGGGGGUGACUGGGAAGGGGCAGUGAGCAGGAUGUAAAGUAAAUAAGUAAAAACAC
rnacentral:lncRNA from 1 species